rnacentral:rRNA from 1 species
GCAUCGAUGAAGAACGCAGCGAAAUGCGAUACUUGGUGUGAAUUGCAGAAUCCCGUGAACCAUCGAGUCUUUGAACGCAAGUUGCGCCCCAAGCCUUCGGGCCGAGGGCACGUCUGCCUGGGUGUCACG